rnacentral:lncRNA from 1 species
AUGGAAGAGUGCCUUGCAGGCUUGAGGGAUGAAAUAUCUCAGCCAUAUCUGGAUGACAAUUUGGUCCACAGCAGAUCAUUUGAGGACCACCUGCGUGAUCUGAGGGAGGUCCUGCGCCGCUAUCAAGCGCACAGGGUGAAGCUGACCCCAGAAAAGUGUGAAGUGUUUAAGGGCAAGGUGAAAUUCCUGGGAAAGAUUGUAUCCAAAGAUGGCUACUGCAUGGACCCUGCUGAAUUGGCACCAGUGCAAGCACUAAAAAACCGCAAACCUGAGACUGUGGGAGACCUAAGGAAAAUGCUAGGUUUCCUGUCAUACUACCGCCCCUACAUUCCAAACUUCUCACGCACUGCCAAGCCACUAUACCAGCUGCUAUCAAUCGGAAAGAUUCAAGUGAUUACUGACAGAAGAUCAACGGUAAUCAGGCACAAAGGAACACGGAAAAAAUCAGACCAACUCCACUCAAGCCAGCCAAUCACAUGGACGGAACAACACCAGGCAGUGCUAUGCCAGCUUAUAGAACACCUGCUGAGUCCACCAUUCCUGGCAUACCCUGAUUUCGAAAGACCAUUUGUGCUGCACUGCGAUGCCUCUCAAGAAGGGCUUGGUGCAGUCCUGUACCAGAGACAGCAGGGCAAACUGGUUGUCAUUGGGUAUGGGUCGAGAACUCUAACAGCUCCAGAAACUAACUAUUACCUGGCCCCAGUGACAGAGAUCUCCAAAGAGACACUAAAGAAAGCACAGGAGGAUGAUCCAGUCAUUGGCAGGGUGCGAGAAUAUGUUAUGACAGGACAAUGGCCUCCUUGGAGAGGAAGAGACAGGGGUGAAGACACUUCAGUUCUAAGCCGGGAAAAGAGUAAGCUGUACCUUGACAAAGACGACAUCCUGUACAGGAAAUCCGCUGCUCGAGCUCAGCUAGUGUUACCCACAAAAUUUCAUCAGCUGGUGUACAAGGAGCUCCAUGAGGAGAUGGGACAUCUCGGAGUGGAGCGGACACUCGCCUUGGUCCGUGAUCGAUUCUAUUAG